AGGUCAGUUUUCUGUGCGUUAUUUCCAAAUCUUAGAUCCAGGUCAGUUUUCUGGGCGUUAUUUCAUUUCCAAAUGAGGUGAUGGAUCCUCUCCACCGUUCCCCGGCUGCUGUGGGAAUCCACGGCCUCGCCAGGCCGGGCAGGCGAUUCCUCCCCUCCGUGCCAACAAAAACCUUGGGAAAAAAACCAACAAAUCCACGGCGGGGCCGUGUUUAAACAAACACCCAGCAGAGCCAAGAUUAUCCCCGUGCCCGGGAACAAUCAGCCCAGGAAUUACCCCAGCCAGCGAUUGUUUGGCCAAGCGCUUUUUCCCAACGGACCCACCGCUGCUUCGGGGUGUUCCACGGAGCAAAAACCUUUUAUGAAUCACAUUUUAAUCCGCGUCCCCCGGUCCUUGGAUGUUGCACUACUUCAAAGAGCUUCCCAGUUUCCACCUCGCCCUUUUUCUGUGGGAUGUUUCCCAACUCCAGCGCCACUUUUGGGUCGUGUUCUUUGAGGGUUUGAAGUGAAAAUUUUCAGCGAACGCAUCUUGCCACAAACAAAUCUUUUCCAGCUGUUCUCGGCGGUUUCGUGCAGCAGCUCCCAGAGGUUUCUGUGAGGUUUAGGAUUCUCUUGUGCCGUUUCUGUGAGGUUUAGGAUUCUCUUGUGACGUUUCUGUGAGGUUUAGGAUUCUCUUGUGCCAUUUCUGUGAGGUUUAGGAUUCUCUUGUGCCGUUUCUGCGAGGUUUAGGAUUCUCUUGUGCCGUUUCUGUGAGGUUUAGGAUUCUCUUGUGCCGUUUCUGUGAGGUUUAGGAUUCUUUUGUGCCGUUUCUGUGAGGUUUAGGAUUCUCUUGUGCCGUUUUUGUGAGGUUUAGGAUUCUUUUGUGCCGUUUCUGUGAGGUUUAGGAUUUUCCCCGUGCCACGAAAAAAGUGGGACAAGCCUCGUUUGAAGAGUUUAAUUGUGAAAACAAUUCACCUGAAAUAAUGAGACAGUAAAUAAUAAACACACUCCCUGUUUGCCUCUCC